rnacentral:rRNA from 1 species
GGUAGCAUAAUAAUUAGUUUUUUAAUUGAAAAAUGGAAUGAAUGGUUUCACUAAAGCUGAAUAUUAAUCCUUACCAUGUAAACUUUUAUUUUAUGUGAAAAUACAUAAAUGUACCUACUAGACAAAAAGACCCUAUGAAGCUAAAAAUUAACUCGUAACGAUAGUAAUCCGUAAAUUUAUUUUUUGGGGUAAAAAAAAAAGAAUUUAUUUUUAUAUUUUUGUUUUAUGAUCCUUUAGGAUAAUAAGAAAAAGCUCCCCUAGGGAUAACAGCGUUAUAGUAGUUAGAGUCCUUAUCGAACCUAC